UACGUAGGGUGCGAGCGUUUGUCCGGAAUUAUUGGGCGUAAAGAGCUUGUAGGUGGUUUGUCGCGUCUGCCGUGAAAGUCCGGGGCUCAACUCCGGAUCUGCGGUGGGUACGGGCAGACUAGAGUGAUGUAGGGGGAGACUGGAAUUCCUGGUGUAGCGGUGAAAUGCGCAGAUAUCAGGAGGAACACCGAUGGCGAAGGCAGGUCUCUGGGCAUUAACUGACGCUGAGGAGCGAAAGCAUGGGGAGCGAACAGG
rnacentral:rRNA from 1 species